UUUGCUUGAGCAGCAGGAGAGAGGAAGAAGAAAAUGUGAGAAAGAACCUAAUCCCAAUUCAAUUCGGGAUUUUCUCUAAUUUUUUUUGCCAAAUACAAAUUUCGGAAAAAAAUUGCUCCUAUUUUAUUCACCGGGAAAGAUUUGCUGGUGAACAUUUGGUCGACCGGUGCACUCAGAUUCUUAUUUGAAACUGACUAAGUCCGUCUGUUCCCCUCUUCAAUUUCCCCUCUUUCUGCAAAAAGAAAUAAUAAGGUGAGUUGAGGUCUCCUAGGCCUAAAUUUCUCUUAAGAAGGGCCUUUAUUACAGAUGGUGAGUGAUGUAAGAUCCCUAACUUCGCCACCGAAGUUGACACACACACACACGGAGCAAGUAGAGAUACUCAGCAAGAUCGGGAAUUUUUUAAUGAGAUUUCCAUGGUUGCACAUUUUAAUAUCGGCUUAUUGUCUCUGUUCAAUAGAAUAGAACAGAAAUAGAAAGCAAAUAAAGCAAAAGAAACAUCGAUGAUCUAUGAAUAGGAAGAAGGCAUACUGUCUUCUGUAGAGGAUCCCCCAUUUCUAUUGUAGAGUCCGUUGUUUCAAUAUUAGAAUCUGACGCUUGAAUUGUUCCAUUCAGAAUCUUUCUUCUGUAAGACUCCCAAGUGACGAAAUGAGUGUCGAGUAAUUUCCCACAAUAUUCUAUUUUUAUCCGGCACUCAUUUGGUAUUUUUGAGCUCGAUGCAUCAAAAAUCCUUUCCAUUGAUCUGCACCAACCAAAACUCAACAGAUGCAAAAACUCUAAUUUGUCAAUGCCCCCAACAACCCGUAGGUUUUUGCACCACUUAAUACUUAACUGCUUCAAGUUCUUCAAGUUUGACAAACCGCCUAACCUUUUUAGUGAAACGCACUCUUCAACGGUAAAUACUCCCAAUGAUUCCAAUGUAGAAACAAAGUGAAUAUCCUGUACGUCUGGACAAAACCCCAUAUGGAAUUCUUGAAGCAUCUUUAGAGAGUUUAAGACAAGGUUCGCUCCCCUCCAACGAUCAGUCAACUCUGGAGCUUGUAGCUCAUUGAACCCCGGCACCUCCGGCAGACAAGCCAACCUCUCGGAAGAUUUGCAGUCCCGAAUACACGAUCUUUCUGACAGUUCAAAGACAUCUACAGAUUGAAUAUCAAGUUGCUUGAACACCUUUUCUCUCAAUUUUUUUAGGCUUGAUGAAACGAAUACAGUCUCCUUUUCCACUGAAAGAAGCCCAUUGACGUGGACUUGCUUCACUCGAGUGUUGCGGAGCUCUAAAACCAUCAAGUUUGACGGCAGUUGUUUGAGUUUUUGUAAGUCUAGUCCAUAUAGAGCAAGUUCUUUUAGCAAAGAAAGGGAACCCAACUCUGUAGUUGGUGCGCAGACAUUCCAUAAGCAAAAGUGCAGCUUGUGCACUUUUGAUAACCUCCCAAUCCACGGUAAGUCACAACUUUGAAUUAACUUUGAUGUUGCCAUACCUUCAGAGCCAUCAGAUAGAUGCAGUUCAACUAGAUUAGUAAGGUAUGAGAGGUUAGGGACAAUCAGCAAUGAAAUAGAUAUCGGUCGUAGAGUGGUCAAACUUCGGGGAGCUCCGGCAACUCUUCUAUCCCAUGACAAUCUUCCAAGUCUAGUGUUUGGAGGUGAAGAAACUUGCUCAUUGUACUAGGCAUUUCCGCAAUCGGUGUGUGUGAUACAUGGGCAUAUGACACGCUUUGUAGUAUACCAAUGGAGUCCGGUGAUCUUGUAAUACUCCCAUGUGAUACAUCCAGCUUCGCUAAUGACUCUAAUUUUGAAACUGAGCCAGGGAGUUUACUCAGGCUACCACAUUUCCUGAGAGAGAGGUGCCGAAGAUUUUGUAGUCCUCCAAUUUGUUCAGGCAAAUUUUGAAAAGCAGAACAUGACUCAACACUCAAGUCAGUCAGGCACCUCAGCUGCUUAAUAGAGCAAUCAAUUUCCAUUAGAAAUGGACAUUCAGAUAUAGUCAACUUCUCUAAAACUGAGUAUUCCGGAAAGGUUGGCGUCCUAUUUAUCGACAACAUACAUUGAAGAGUGAGAACCUUCAAUUUCGUUGCCCCCUACAAAAGCCAAUGAAACAUAAGGACAAACAAGAGAUAAAUAUGGAUUUAGGCUACCAAUUUGUAUCUUACGUCAUAUGAUCCUCUCACUAAAUGAGAAAAUUAGACUAUAAACCCAUCAAAUUUUAUCCAUCAUUGAAUGAGAAAAUUAGACUAGGGAAACUGACAUACCUUGAUUAGGUAACUAAAAUGGUCGAAGUCAAGGAAAGAAAGAUUCAUCACAACCACGUUUUCUAGACCCAAAUGUUUCCAUUGGUUGAGAUAAGAAUCCCAAGCACUAGAUGCAGAACGAUGCAAAAUGAUCCAUUUCAACUUGGAAAGACAGCCCGAGAGGUCACCUUCGCAGAUUACGUUACUCAACCAAAGAAACUGUAGAUGUGUGAACCGUUUCAUUUGCUCCGCAGUGACAAUUAUAGGCUUGCCAGACUCCGCCUGCAAGCAAAGUGCUUGAACGCUUCCCUUGAUCUGCUAAUGACAUUAAGGAGCAGGAGCAGAAAUUUGUCAGUAUUACACAAUUUAAUUCGUCGAAGAAGGAAAAAAAAUGAAACGGUUGAGUAGUUCCCAAUUCAGAAAUGUGAUUAAAUCCUCAAUUAAGAACAGGGUAAGCAAUUUUUGAAUUCAUAUUUGGUCAUACUUUACCUCUGUUGAUCUUAAUUCGCAAAUGAUAUCGUCUCUAACCCACAACCUGGUACGCUUUCCAGGAUACUGUAGAUUUUCUUGAUUGACAAUUGUCCUUCCAAGAUCUCUAAACUGAUCAUGCAUCCAAAGACUAUUAUCGUCUAAAACCUUUAUCAUACACCUGUCAAUAAGAAUGUGAAUAGCAUAAUCUGCCAUAAACCCACGAUCUUUCCACACAUAGAGUGGAUCAAUCUUCUUCUGACCGAUGCAAAAGCAUGCCACAUCGAGAAAUAUCUGUUGUUGAUCUGAAUCUAGGGCAUCAUAGCUAAUGCUUAGCUUUCCCAAGACAUCCCCAGUAGGUGUUUCCCUGAGCUUCCCUAGCAUCUCUUCCCAUAUUGUUUUCUCUUCCUGACCAAAGAGCAAUGAGCCUAUUGCUUCAAGAGCUAAAGGUAGUCCGCCUGUAAUAGAGACUAUGCCCUCUGAAAGAGUGUAGUAAUUAUUUGGAGGAGAGCUGCCAUUGAAGGCAUGCCUACUAAAAAGCUGGAGUGCGUCUUUUUUGCUCAACCCCUCCAUUUCAUAAGUCAAGAUUUCAUACUUAAAUCUCCUUAUUUUCAGAACGUUUUUGUCCCUAGUGGUAACGAGUAUCCUAGUACCAGGAUACAGAGAAUUCACUUCGAUUAGUUUUUGGAUUUGGUUGCCCUCAUCAAUAUCAUCUAAUACAAUUAGUACCUUCUUGUUGCAAAUUGUCUCUCCAAUUGUAUUGAUCCCGCAAUCAAUAUUAUCAAUGCCUUGAGUCACUCUUGAAUAAGAGAUAUCAGACAAUAAUUGUUCUUGUAGCUUGACCAAGCCCUUGGUUUUUGCCGUUUCUCUUACAUCAUCAAGAAAGCUGCAAUUUUUCCCAAAAUGAGGACAUAAUUGGUUGAAGAUAAUCUUGGCGAGUGUUGUUUUACCAAUACCGCCCAUUCCGUAAAUUCCAAUAAGCCGUACACCACCAGAGUUGAUGUCUAAUAAAUUGUUCACGGCUGCUAUCCGAUCAUCGAUUCCAACUAAAUCUUCAGUCACUUGUCUUUCUCUUGUCUUGAGCCUGACCACAACCUCAUUAACGACCAACUUUAUAAGAUCCCCAUAGCUGCCACAAAUUCGAACAGUUUCAAUUGAGAAAAGUUCACAAAUUUGCACGUUGAUGAACCAUGAACUAAGUAACCAGGUGGGAACGCGAUCAAAUUUGUGAUAUACAAAAAUUCAGAGUCACCCCCAAAGCUUCGCCAUUAGAAACUUGAACAUCCAUUACAGGAUGAAGAAAUAGAGGAAGAGAAAAGUUUGAUCUUUAGACCAAGUAGAAGAAUCAAAAUUUCUGGCAAAAAAGGCUAGAAGAAUCAAAAUAUAGACGGCUGAUGAAUUACCGUAAUAGUAUAUUUACUUAUUUCAUUCGACGUGGAAAAGAACUCUGCAAAGGCAACAAUUCCUUGAUCAAGUUCUCUGGCAUACAAUAGGAAUCUUAGUUCAUACAUGGAUCAAAUUAGUAUAAAGAAGAUGAAGCAAAAGCUAAACUUUUAUAAGAUGGAAAUUAGGUGAAAAAGAAAAUGAUAAUAACCUGAUUAGGUCAGAAAAUUUUGAAAAUCUCAUGUUAAAAAAAAUAAAGAAAUUUUUUUUGAAACCUCUGGUUUAAAUUUAGGAAAAAUAGAGUUGGAAUAUAGUUAAUGAAUUUUUAUAAGAAAUAUGACCUAAUUGUACAAAAUAUUUCACAAUUAUUG
rnacentral:lncRNA from 1 species